UACGUAGGGGGCGAGCGUUGUCCGAAGUUACUGGGCGUAAAGCGCGCGUAGGCGGCCAUCUAAGUUCGGGGUGAAAGGUUCAAACGCUCAACGUGAACAGUGCCCCUGAAUACUUGGUUGGCUUGAGUUCGGGAGGGGGCUGUGGAAUUCCGGGUGUAGCGGUGAAAUGCGUUAGAUAUCCGGAGGAACACCGGUGGCGAAGGCGGGUCUCUGGGGC
rnacentral:rRNA from 1 species